rnacentral:ncRNA from 1 species
UAAGACCAUGGCUGCUGAUGAUUUCUUCGAGGGUCAGGGCCGUACUGAUGGUGCUCUCACUCCCUGGUAUACCGAGGAGGAUAAGAUUAACUUCCUUCAUCGUCUCCAUGAUGCUGGUGUCCGCAACAUCGAGAUGGAGAGUGUCGCUCUUAUGGGUUUCUGCCAGCGAGCCAAGAUCCCCGCUGCUUGCGUAUGUGUGACCUUGGUUAACAGGUUGGAAGGUGAUCAGAUUACCUCUACUAAGAGGCAACUCGCCAAGUACAACGAGUACUCCAUUCGUGUGGUCAGCAACUUCAUUGCCACCACUCAGGCUAGGACUGCUCAUUAAAUGAUGCGAUCUAGUUUUUCUCGCGUGGGAACGUGUGUUCCCAUGAAAUCGUAGUUUCUGUUUAGUGAAUUUAUCGCGAAUUGAACAGUUCUGAGUUCUAAUAUUCAAUGAAUCAUUGACAAUGAUAGAAGGCUAGUUCGUUUCAUCUUUCCCUGGAGAAUCCCCUGAACGAAACCUGACUCAUAUGUGGUCCACAAUGUGAUACAAUCCAGCAAUCCCACUUUGUUGCUAAUAUUGCGGAUCUGCCAAAUUCAAUAAUUUCCGACAGUUCCACUUAUUAGCUCCUGCGCACUUGCUACUCUCUGUUUGGAAGUCGCAAAUUUGGAAGUUCUUUCCAGCAAGUCGCACUUUUUCGCUACUUUCUUGCUGCAUUGUAUUUUUCCCCGGAAUAUUUCACACAGAGGCACUUUUGCCCAUAUGUGUUUCGCCCGCAUUUCUCCGUUAUUAAUAAUAAAGAACAUACCUUGAUAACAAUAUCCAUCAGGACAUCAUCCUUCAUCAUAGAGCGAUCAACAAGCAUUUCCUUGUCCGGUAGGGUUAGGCCCUAACCGUCAGGGUAAUGUUUUGAAAUCGUGUCGUGCUAGGGAUAGACGAUUGCAAUUAUUCGUCUUCGAAGAAUUCCUAGUAAAUGCAAGUCAACAACUUGCGCUGAUUACGUCCCUGUCCUUUUUACACAGCGUCCGUCACUCGUACCGAUUGAGUGAUCCGGUGAGCUGUAAGGACUGCGAUUACUUUAGUU